rnacentral:rRNA from 1 species
GAGCAGCACGCCGCGUGGAGGAUGACACUUUUCGGAGCGUAAACUCCUUUUGUUAGGGAAGAACAAUGACGGUACCUAACGAAUAAGCACCGGCUAACUCCGUGCCAGCAGCCGCGGUAAUACGGAGGGUGCAAGCGUUACUCGGAAUCACUGGGCGUAAAGGACGCGUAGGCGGAUUAUCAAGUCUCUUGUGAAAUCCUAUGGCUUAACCAUAGAACUGCUUGGGAAACUGAUAAUCUAGAGUGAGGGAGAGGCAGAUGGAAUUGGUGGUGUAGGGGUAAAAUCCGUAGAGAUCACCAGGAAUACCCAUUGCGAAGGCGAUCUGCUGGAACUCAACUGACGCUAAUGCGUGAAAGCGUGGGGAGCAAACA